rnacentral:lncRNA from 1 species
UUUUUUUUUUUUUUUUUUGUCUUUUUGCCAUUUCUAGGGCUGCUCCUGCAGCAUAUGGAAGUUCCCAGGCUAGGGAUCUAAUCGGAGCUGUAGCCACCGGCCCACACCACCGCCACAGCAACGUGGGAUCCAAGCCGCGUCUGCCACCUACACCAUAGCUCAUGGCAACGCUGGAUCCUCAACCCACUGGGCAAGGCCAGGGAUCAACCCUGCAACCUCAUGGUUCCUAGUCGGAUUCGUUAACCACUGAGCCACGACGGGAACUCCGCUCCUUAAUUUUUUAAAUAGGUAAUCCCUUCAUGGGGUUCACAAAUCGUAAACAAUUAAGUCUUCCUUGCAUCCCUGAUCUCCAGCAAGCCAAGCUUCUCACCUCUUGAGCACCCACUAUUAGUUGCUACUUGUGGAGCCUUCCAGAGACCCUUUAUGCAUAUACAAGCCGUGUGUGUGUGUGUGUGUGUGUGUGUGUGUGUGUGUGUAGGUAGGUAUGUAUGUCCAACUUCAGAUCGUAUGGAAAGUAUUUAUUGAAAAAAAUCCACAUGUAAGUGGACCUGCUCAGUUCAAACCCAUGUUGUUCAAGAAUCAACUUAUAUGUGUGUGUAUAAUUUUUUUUUCUACUUAUAUGAUACCGGACAAGUAUAUUCAAGGAGCAGUUCUGUUCUUGUGGGAAGGACCAUCCCAGAAGUCAGAAUGUCUGUAAAAGGUGAGCCCAGUAUUAGGGGAAUUUUUUUAAUCACACCCAUUCUGCCUAAGGCCUAUUUUCCACUAACUGAAGCAUGCUGAAAUUCUAGUUUUCUAUACAGAUACAGACCCUCCCUGACACCCUAACCAUAGUUGCCCAAAUAAUGAGCACAACCAGUUUCCAGCCUGAGUCUGUGACAGCACACUCAAGAGCAGGCUCCCCAGCCAAAAGUGACAGCACAGUCCAGCAGCUCCUGCAGGGGACUGGACAGGCUGCAGCUCCACCCCAACCCUCCAGUCUUGGCCACUUCCAAGGAGGACCAAGAGGCCAGCAGGACACCUGGCUACAGCUGUCACCAUUUCCUAGGCAGGCUCCCGUGUUUUUAAGAUAGGGGUUUGAGAAGUAGCAGUAACUGAAGGCCAAGGCAUCCUGUGUCUUGUGGGGUAGAUGUCUCAGACAUUGCUAAGUAAAUAGGUGGUCAGCUGCCUCAGAAUUUACAGCAGAUAUGCCUAAAUGUCCAUGUUCACAUUCAUGAACCUCCCUUUCUCUCGCUACUCUUAUGCACAAACUAAAUAGAAAAUGUUCCCAUAGAAUUUUCUCCUUGCCCAACAUUUUUUCCUUUCAACAGAAAUUAUCCCACCAAUAGUUUCUCUUUUAACAAAAAAUUCCCCCCCCAAUAUUUUCUUUCGGGGGGGGGGGGGGAAUUCACUUUUGCCCCUGCAGGAGAUCAAAGUUAAAAGUGCUUCCUCCAGGCAGCCCUUGGGAGGAGGGGCCACGUCUGUGCCUCUCAGUCCCCACCCAUCUCCCUGCUGUAAUGCCAGAGUAGAAGCCCAGGGCCUCCCUGGAUCAGAAGUUUAACUUUGGGGCCCCUGACCUGAAACUUGAAAAGGAAUUGUUUGUGAAAUUCCACCCUUCUGUCAUUGGAUGAACCUUAAGAGACUUUAAUAUUAGCAUUCAGGAAUCUGAGUAAAGGAGAUGAAUGUGUCUAAAUUCUGGUGAAGUCUGCAGCUGAUAACUGGAAAAUGCUGGGUUAUACUCCUUUAGUAGAUAAAAUUAACAAAGGUUUCACUCCAGUGUGCCAUGGAAUGUGCUUCCAUUUGAUUGGGACUACAAGGAAAAUAGAAAAGCUUGUUCAGUGUAUCUUUUAUUGUUCCAGUACAGCUUCAGAAUGUGAAUGGUUCCAAGAUGCUGAGUUUUAUUCCACUUUUAGACCAAGCAUGACCACACCUGGCUUACCAAUCCAGUACUCACGUCUGUGGCUACAGUGUCAGGGACUCCCUGCUCCAGGGACAUGUUCCUAGAAUGCGGGCCCCAUCAGAGUCAAGGGACUUGUCUAUACUUCGAUGAAGCCUCUCAGCUCCCUGGGCCAGUACGAGCCUCAGGACAGGUGCACGAGGUCCCUGAAUCCCCCCCUUUCCUCCCAGGCCCUGUUAGAGCAGGAGGCAGGUGGGGCCAGUAUUAGGAAGUCCUUCCUGAUAACAGUUCAGUCUUCCAAGAAUGUUUCUGAACUGUCAUCUCUGGUCUCUUGACAGAUCAUUGCCAGAAAGAGGGGAUAUGAGUCUUGUAGUUUAAGCCCAUUGGGGUUUAUUCACUAGAUAUAAUAACUCCCUCAAAAAAAGGUUUAUGAAAUGCUGAGGCUCAGGUUUCAUAGACAUGUUUGUACACUAGGAGUUCUGCAGCAGAAUAUUUUUAAACAUUCGCAAUUUUUUUUGUAAGCUAUAUUUUUGUAUAUUUAAUUGCUAUUUUAAAAUUUUAAUGCAUUUUGCUAAUUACUCUUGUUUAAAAUAUAAAACGUGCAUGUAAUUGACUUAAAUGUAAAUAAAAAGAUUUUG